GUUUCUGUGGUGUAGCGGUUAUCACAUUCGCCUCACGCGUGAAAGGUCCCUGGUUCGAAACCAGGCAGAAACA